GAUGAACGCUGGCGGCGUGCCUAACACAUGCAAGUCGAGCGAACGGACGAGAAGCUUGCUUUCCUGAUGUCAUCGGCGGACGGGUGAGUAACAUGUGGAUAAACUACCUAUACGACUGGGAUAACUUUGGGAAACCGGAGCUAAUACCGGAUAAUAUAUUGAACUGCAUGGUUCAAAAGUUAAAGAAGGUCUCGCUGUCACUUAUAGAUGGAUCCGCGCUGCAUUAGCUUGUUGGUAAGGUAACGGCUUACCCAGGCAACGAUGCAGAGCCGACCUCAACGGGUGAUCGCCCAGCCUGUAUGUGAGACACGGUCGCGACUCCGACGGUAGGACGCAGUAGGGACUCUUCCGCGAUGGACGAAAGCCUGACGGUGCACCGCCGCGUGAGUGCUGAACGUCUUCGGAUCGUUGAGCUCUGUUAGCCGUAAAGAACAAAUGUGUAAGUACCUGUGCUCAUAAUGACGGUACCUAAACAGAAAGCCACGGCUAACUCCGUG
rnacentral:rRNA from 1 species